rnacentral:tRNA from 1 species
UCCCUAGUAGCUCAGUGGUAAAGAAUCUGCCUGCAAUGCAGGAGACCCGGGUUCGAUCCCUGGGUUGGGAA